rnacentral:rRNA from 1 species
UACGGAAGGCAGCAGUGGGGAAUAUUGCACAAUGGGCGAAAGCCUGAUGCAGCUAUGCCGCGUGUAUGAAGAAGGCCUUAGGGUUGUAAAGUACUUUCAUCGGGGAGGAAAAAAACAAAACUAAUAAUUUUAUUUCUUGACGUUACCCGAAAAAGAAGCACCGGCUAACUCCGUGCCAGCAGCCGCGGUAAUACGGAGGGUGCUAGCGUUAAUCAGAAUUACUGGGCGUAAAGAGCACGUAGGUGGUUUUUUAAGUCAGAUGUGAAAUCCCUGGGCUUAAACCUAGGAACUGCAUUUUGAAACUGAAAUACUAGAGUAUCGUAGAGGGAGGUAGAAUUCUAGGUGUAGCGGUGAAAUGCGUAGAUAUCUGGAGGAAUACCUGUGGCGAAAGCGGCCUCCUAAACGAACUACUGACACUGAGGUGCGAAAAGCGUGGGGAGCAAACAGGGAUUAGAUACC